AACGAACGCUGGCGGCGUGCCUAACACAUGCAAGUCGAGCGAGAAAGUCCCUUCGGGGGCGAGUAGAGCGGCGGACGGGUGAGUAAUACAUGGGUAAUUUACCUUCGAGUUUGGGAUAACCCUGCGAAAGCGGAGCUAAUACCGGAUAAGACCACGUGGCCCAGGCCGCGGGGUAAAAGGUGGCCUGUAUUCAUACAAGCUAUCACUUGAAGAUGAGCCCAUGGCCUAUCAGCUUGUUGGCGGGGUAAAAGCCCACCAAGGCUAUGACGGGUAGCUGGUCUGAGAGGACGACCAGCCACACUGGGACUGAGACACGGCCCAGACUCCUACGGGAGGCUG
rnacentral:rRNA from 1 species